rnacentral:rRNA from 1 species
AUCAUAGUCAAAAUCUGAGUUUGAUCCUGGCUCAGAAGGAACGCUAGCUAUAUGCUUAACACAUGCAAGUCGAACGUUGUUUUCGGGGAGCUGGGUAGAAGGAAAAGAGGCUCCUAGCUAAAGUUGUCUCGCCCUGCUUCAAAACUACAGGGCGCGCGCUACAACUUUGACCUAAUGGCCUCCGUUUGCUGGAAUCGGAAUAGUUGAGAACAAAGUGGCGAACG